UACGAAGGGGGCUAGCGUUGCUCGGAAUCACUGGGCGUAAAGGGUGCGUAGGCGGGUCUUAAGUCGGGGGUGAAAUCCUGGAGCUCAACUCCAGAACUGCCUUCGAUACUGGAAGACUCGAGUCCGGGAGAGGUGAGUGGAACUGCGAGUGUAGAGGUGAAAUUCGUAGAUAUUCGCAAGAACACCAGUGGCGAAGGCGGCUCACUGGCCCGGUACUGACGCUGAGGUGCGAAAGCGUGGGGAGCAAACAGGG
rnacentral:rRNA from 1 species